GCCCCCGUAGCUCAGAAGGAUAGAGCACCGGCCUCCGAAGCCGGUGGCGCGCGUUCGAAUCGCGCCGGGGGUA
rnacentral:tRNA from 1 species